AAACUGAGGCCUGGAGAGGUUAUGAGAUGUGCCCAAGGUUACCCACUUUGUGAGUGACAGGUUGGCCCCAGAGCUUGUGCUCUUCGCAGUGAUGCCAUCCCGCCUCUCCUCACACAGCCUUGAGACGGCAAAGUGAGACGCUUCAGUUUCACAUGGGUUACACUGCUGAGUGCUGGUCCUUCCCCUGCUUGGCAUGCAAUCUACUGAGGCUUGCAAGGGGCAGUCACCUUACCGAAGUCGACAGCAAAAAUGGACCAGAAGACACAGAGGCUCACCUCCAACUAACAAGUAAAAGAGAUGACUAGAGAUGAAGCCACAAAAGGAAGAGCGGGGCGGAGGUCUUGAGACCUGGAGUGAUUCAGUGGCCGGAGGCACAGGCACUGCGGGAGAAUCCUUAGACGGUUGAGCUAUGUUGGGCACAUAAACACCAGGCCAGCCAGGGAACAACUGGUCUGGGGACUCAAGAGGCAGGGCAGUUGUCUUCAGAUGGGACGCAGGAAGCCAACCAAAGAGCAGUAUUUUCCUAAACCGAGGGCAAGGGCCCAGAACCUGCCAGAGGGAGUAUCGUUUUCUCUAGGACCCAGGGAAUGGGAGCAAGAAAACUUAGAGAGGCCUGGAGGUAGAGGAACCAUCGGGAGGUAAAGCACCAGUUCUGUGACUUCACUGAGCCCCUAUUGUUGUGUAAUUGUGCACCCUUCAUACUCUGUGACUUUUCACCCUGGAGCUAAGAAUCAGUUCCUUCCACUUCACGGGCUGGGUGAGUGAUGGUUCCUUACUGAGAAGGGGGAUGAAGGAAGAAGACGGGGCAGGGUGCUAUUUGCAAAGAAAAGUCCAGAGAAGCCCACUCCCAAUGUUGCCCCCACCGCCACCCUUCCGAGACGGUGGCGAAGGCCUUGCUGUUGAGUGUGGGGGACACCCUGGCGUCUUGUCACCGUUCUCAAACAGGAUUUACUUCCCUGGCCUGUUGGCCUGCUUUAGAGUCAACCAGUGUAAUGACCCGGUGUGCGCUCAGGAAAAAGACUUCCCUCCCCUCAACCUGGGUCAGGUCGCGGCGGAAUAUUGGUAAAGACCAACUGGGUGCACACCUCAUCCACUAGUGCUAAAGGCUUUUUACUAGGCCUUCCCUGCAUGUAAUGUCUCUGCUGAGCGAUGUCUCAAGGCUCAAAGGUGCUCCUUGUUUGCCACUCAUUUCACACCAAUUUAACUGAAUACCAACUAUGUUUUCCCAAUUUCCGUGUGUCUUCUACUUCUGCUGGGACCCUGACUGCUACCUACUCUCUCAGAGACCCGUGGAAAGGCAGCCACGUAUCCUACAUGAGCCCACACACCCAGGUCACCGCAGACGAGACCAGAGACAGAAAAGAAGGCACAGAGAGAAAGCCACGUGAAGACAGAGGCAGAGAUUGGAAUUAUGAAUCUCAAGACAAGGAAGGGCAAGGGUUGCCAGGAGCCACCAGAAGCUAGGAGAGAGGCAUGGAGCGGAUUCUCCCUCGCAGCCUCCGGAGGUAGCACGGCCCUGCUGACGCCUUGAUUUUGGACUUGCGGCUUUCAGAAUGUUAUACAGCAAGAUCAAAGGGAACACCUCGACCCUGGGGCUUCAGCUACUGGCAGGAAGAGAAGCACAGAAAGGCCUUUAACCCUCGACAGGCCAUCACCAUCGUUAUCUGCUCAUUUCCUGGCCCCCAGCCAGAGUGGGCGAGAUUGUUCUAGUACCUUACACCCUCACACACUCCCCUCUCAGGCUCACCGCUACUUUCUUACUUACUUUGUUUCACCUUCAGAGGCUUUUAAUAUUUACGUUA
ensembl:lncRNA